rnacentral:rRNA from 1 species
ACGAACGCUGGCGGCGUGCUUCACACAUGCACGUCGCACGGAAAGGCCCUUCGGGGUCCUCGAGUGGCGAACGGGUGAGUAACACGUGGGUGAUCUGCCCUGCACUUUGGGAUAAGCCUGGGAAACUGGGUCUAAUACCGAAUAUGAUCAUCGGCUUCAUGGUCGGUGGUGGAAAGCUUUUGCGGUGUGGGAUGGGCCCGCGGCCUAUCAGCUUGUUGGUGGGGUAAUGGCCUACCAAGGCGACGACGGGUAGCCGGCCUGAGAGGGUGACCGGCCACACUGGGACUGAGAUACGGCCCAGACUCCUACGGGAGGCAGCAGUGGGGAAUAUUGCACAAUGGGCGCAAGCCUGAUGCAGCGACGCCGCGUGAGGGAUGACGGCCUUCGGGUUGUAAACCUCUUUCAGCACAGACGAAGCGCAAGUGACGGUAUGUGCAGAAGAAGGACCGGCCAACUACGUG